rnacentral:rRNA from 1 species
GACAGAGGGGGCAAACGUUGUUCGGAAUUACUGGGCGUAAAGCGAGUGUAGGCGGUCUGAAAAGUCGGGUGUGAAAGCCCUGGGCUCAACCCAGGAAGUGCACUCGAAACUGCCAGGCUAGAGUAUCGGAGAGGUUGGUGGAAUUCUCGGUGUAGAGGUGAAAUUCGUAGAUAUCGAGAGGAACACCGGUGGCGAAGGCGGCCAACUGGACGAAUACUGACGCUGAGACUCGAAAGCGUGGGGAGCAAACAGG